CAUUCGCACAGAGUCUCCAGUUGAAUUCCGUGGACGAAUGUGACGGUGCGUUUGAUUAAUCUGCUUCCAUCCAACCUGAAAUAUGAAGUGUUUCGACUUUCACACACCAAGUUAUGACUUUGAAGCGGGCUGAAAACAUUUUACGGUGUUGUUCUGAAAAUCCUGCAGACCUUUCCAGCGAGGCUCAGCCUGCGGUGGCUCUGUCCUUUCCUCUUGUGUCUGCUAGAGUAAUGUGAGGCUGUUUGAGGCCCUGCUGUGACCACUCGCUGCAGGGUUAUAGGUAAACCUCAGACAAAUUGUCUCUGUACAUUUGUGUUUAUUCAGGUGGCUGGAUUGUGCAUUAAUCCACAGGAGCAGUGCAUGAAGGCUGGCCGCUGCCAUCAAUGGCGUAUGGGUCACCAGAUGUAACCAUGGCGGCUGGCUUCUUCAGCAAUGACUCAUAAGGAGUAGCCCAUGAAUAUGGGCAGCUGCCAUCUUCAGUUCCUCUAUGGCGCGUGGACCACGAGUUGCAAAUAAGAUGCCAAGUGGCUGUCUCACACGUUCACCUGGACAUCUCUUAACUGUACACGGCGCUGCUUCCAGAGAAAAGCUCUCCAGUCACCGUGCAGAUGGUUGUUGUUUCUCAAAGCGCCAGAGAUUUAAGAGUCUGACUUCACAGAUUGGAUGAAAUCUGCAGAGAACAAAAGAGCCGGAGAACCAGUUGAUCGAGCAAAAGAAAUAAAGAUUAAAAUAUUAUUUUUAUUGCACUGCUUUAGUAAUGUACAGGUUGACUGUCGUUUGAAGCACUUGUUGGUUAAGUUGACUUGCAGAUUUUGUGGUUUAAUGUGGAAAGAAUCUGUGACACUAAAGAAACUAGAAAAAUGUAUUGCACAGAGAUAAAUCGAUUAUAAUCUGUUACAAAUUUAAACACAUGAAAGUGUUUGACCAGCUGAAAUUAAUACUAGAGAAACAUUAAAAUAAAAUAAUGAAAAUGGA